GAUGAAGAACGCAGCGAAAUGCGAUACUUGGUGUGAAUUGCAGAAUCCCGUGAACCAUCGAGUCUUUGAACGCAAGUUGCGCCCGAAGCCAUUAGGCCGAGGGCACGCCUGCCUGGGUGUCACACGUCGUUGCCCCCCCAUCUACUCCUUCGGGAUUGCGGGGGGCGGAUGAUGGCCUCCCGUGCGCCUCGUCGCGCGGUUGGCAUAAAUGCCAAGUCCUCGGCGACGCACGCCACGACAAUCGGUGGUUGCGAAACCUCGGUUGUCCGUCGUGUGCGGUCGUCGCGCAUCGAGGGCUCGAAAAAAUUGCCGGGCUCCGGCUCGGCUUUCAACGCGACCCAAGGUCAGGCGGGGUUACCCGCUGAAUUUAAGCAUAUCAAUAAGCGGAGGA
rnacentral:misc_RNA from 1 species